AUCUCGGUAGUGUGUGGCCGAGGUGCUCGGUGCAGGCAGGCUGCGACCGAGGGACACCGCUCAGGCGGGCAGGCCGCGCUGAGGUGGGAUUUCGGCAGAGAGUUGCCGAGGUGCUCGGUGCAGGCAGGCUGCGACCGAGGUGGUGGGUUUGGCAAGCAUGGAGCCGAAGCGUUCGGCGCAGGCAGGCUGGCCGCGCAGACGUGUCUCUCGGGGUUUAUGGAGCCGAGGGGGACGACGCGGGCAUACUGGCGGCACUGGUCUGUCUCGCGAACAUGGAACCAAGGAUCACGACGCAGGGGGGGUGACCGCGCAGGCGUGGUCGCGAGGGCCAUGCGACCGAGUAGCACGAUCAGGCGGGCAGGACGCGAGGACGCGGCCGAGGAACACGACAGGCGGUCAGGCCGUGCCGAGGUGGGUCUCGACAGAGAUUGGCCGAGGUGCUCGGUGCAGGCAGGCUGCGACCGAGGGACACCGCUCAGGCGGGCAGGCCGCGCUGAGGUGGGAUUUCGGCAGAGAGUUGCCAAGGUGCUCGGUGUAAGCAAGCUGCGACCGAGGGGUGAGACCCUGGUGGGUAAGCUGCCCUGAGACAGACUCGGCAGUGAAUAUGGCCGAGUAGCUCGGCGCAGGCAGGCUGACCGCGCAGGCGUGUCUUGGGGGGUAUGGAGCCGAG
rnacentral:lncRNA from 1 species